UUAAGCUACAAAGGGCUUACGGUGGAUGCCCUGGCA
rnacentral:rRNA from 2 species